rnacentral:rRNA from 1 species
GACGAACGCUGGCGGCAGGCCUAACACAUGCAAGUCGAACGCCGUAGCAAUACGGAGUGGCAGACGGGUGAGUAACGCGUGGGAACAUACCCUCCGGUUCGGAAUAACUAAGGGAAACUUGAGCUAAUACCGGAUACGUCCAAGGUUUUAAUCCGCCUUGGAGAAAGAUUUAUCGCUGGAGGAUUGGCCCGCGUCUGAUUAGCUUGUUGGUGAGGUAAUGGCUCACCAAGGCGACGAUCAGAGCUGGUCUGAGAGGAUGAUCAGCCACAUUGGGACUGAGACACGGCCCAAACUCCUACGGGAGGCAGCAGUGGGGAAUAUUGGACAAUGGGCGAAAGCCUGAUCCAGCCAUGCCGCGUGAGUGAUGAAGGCCUUAGGGUUGUAAGGCUCUUUUACCCGGGAAGAUAAUGACGGUACGGAGAAUAAGCCCCGCUAACUUCGUGCCAGCAGCCGCCGCCGUAAC